AUUGAACGCUGGCGGCAGGCCUAACACAUGCAAGUCGAACGAGUGGCGGACGGGUGAGUAAUGUAUGGGAAAGUGCCUGAUGGAGGGGGAUAACUACUGGAAACGGUAGCUAAUACCGCAUACUAUUGGAGGAGCCCAGAUGGGAUUAGCUAGUUGGUGGGGUAAAGGCUCACCUAGGCGACGAUCCGUAGCUGGUCUGAGAGGAUGACCAGCCACACUGGAACUGAGACACGGUCCAGACUCCUACGGGAGGCAGCAGUGGGGAAUAUUGCCCAAUGGGCGCAAGCCUGAGGCAGCCAUGCCGCGUGUAUGAAGAAGGCCUUCGGGUUGUAAAGUACUUUCGGCAGGGAGGCGUUACCCGCAGAAUAAGCACCGGCUAACUCCGUGCCAGCAGCCGCGGUAAUUC
rnacentral:rRNA from 1 species